rnacentral:tRNA from 1 species
GUGUAGAAUAAGGGUUAGCAACCUGGGCUCAUAACCCAAAGGUCGCAGGUUCGAUUCCCAUGCAAUACACA